UACAUGUGGGGCAAGCGUUGUUCGGAAUUACUGGGCAUAAAGGGUGCGUAGGCGGCUUGUUAAGUCAUUGGUGGAAGUUUUCGGCCCAACCGGAAAAUUGCCUGUGAUACUGGCGAGCUGGAGUGCGUGAGGGGUGGGGGGAACGAGCAGUGUAGCGGUGAAAUGCGUAGAUAUUGCUCGGAAGGCCGGAGCCGAAGGGGCCCCACUGGUACGUAACUGACGCUGAGGCGCGAAAGCUAGGGGAGCAAACAGG
rnacentral:rRNA from 1 species